ensembl:snoRNA SNORA73 Small nucleolar RNA SNORA73 family
CUGACGUGGACAUCCAGCGAGCUGCUCUCCUGGCUCUGUCCUGGUGGCGUAUGGGAGCGUAGCUUUUCAGCAGAGACGUACAUUCCCGUUCCACACCGUCGGAGAGAAAGCUCUGUCCCCGGCCUCUGGCUGGCGUGGACGAGCGUCCUGUAUAUUCCUACAUCUUCCCAGAGUCCUACUGGACAGUUACUGGGGAGCUAAACCAUGCAGUGCACAUUG